rnacentral:rRNA from 1 species
AGAUUGAACGCUGGCGGCGUGCCUAACACAUGCAAGUCAAGCGGUAACGCGGGAGCAAUCCUGGCGACGAGCGGCGAACGGGUGAGUAAUACUUCGGAAUCUACCCACGGGUGGGGAAUAACCAGCCGAAAGGUUGGGCAAUACCGAAUAUUGUCCGGAGCCGUGAAGGGUUCCGGGGAAAGGGAGGCCUCUGACACAAGCUUUCGCCUUAAGAUGAGCCCAUGGCCCAUCAGCUAGUUGGUAGGGUAAAGGCCUACCAAGGCUACGACGGGUCGCUGGUCUGAGAGGACGACCAGCCACACUGGCACUGAGAUACGGGCCAGACUCCUACGGGCGGCAGC